CCUACGGGUGGCAGCAGUGAGGAAUAUUGGUCAAUGGGCGGGAGCCUGAACCAGCCAAGCCGCGUGAGGGAAGAAGGUACAGCGUAUCGUAAACCUCUUUUGUCAGGGAACAAAGGCGGGUACUAGUCCCCGGAUGAGGGUAUCUGAAGAAAAAGCAUCGGCUAACUCCGUGCCAGCAGCCGCGGUAAUACGGAGGAUGCGAGCGUUAUCCGGAUUUAUUGGGUUUAAAGGGUGCGUAGGCGGGCCGAUAAGUCAGCGGUAAAAUCCCGGGGCUCAACCUCGGCACCGCCGUUGAAACGGGCAGUCUAGAGUUGGAGAGAAGUAUGCGGAAUGCGCGGUGUAGCGGUGAAAUGCAUAGAUAUCGCGCAGAACUCCGAUUGCGAAGGCAGCAUGCCGGCUCCACACUGACGCUGAGGCACGAAAGCGUGGGUAUCGAACAGGAUUAGAUACCCCAGUAGUC
rnacentral:rRNA from 1 species